GAUGAACGCUGGCGGCGUGCCUAACACAUGCAAGUCGAGCGAUUCUCUUCGGAGAAGAGCGGCGGACGGGUGAGUAACGCGUGGGUAACCUGCCCUGUACACACGGAUAACAUACCGAAAGGUAUGCUAAUACGAGAUAAUAUGCUUUUAUCGCAUGGUAGAAGUAUCAAAGCUUUUGCGGUACAGGAUGGACCCGCGUCUGAUUAGCUAGUUGGUAAGGUAAUGGCUUACCAAGGCGACGAUCAGUAGCCGACCUGAGAGGGUGAUCGGCCACAUUGGAACUGAGACACGGUCCAAACUCCUACGGGAGGCAGCAGUGGGGAAUAUUGCACAAUGGGCGAAAGCCUGAUGCAGCAACGCCGCGUGAGCGACGAAGGCCUUCGGGUCGUAAAGCUCUGUUCUUGGGGACGAAUAAAUGACGGUACCCAAGGAGAAAGCCCCGGCUAACUACGUGCCAGCAGCCGCGGUAAGAGUGUGUGUA
rnacentral:rRNA from 1 species